rnacentral:snRNA from 1 species
CGCUUUGCGUAGUGGCAGUAUCGUGGCCAAUGAGGUUUAUCCAAGGCGCAAUUAUGGCUAAUUGAAAAGUUCUUACCUCU